rnacentral:rRNA from 1 species
AGCAUGCUGGAGGUAUCACAAGAGCGAAUGCUGACGUGAGUAACGACAAAACGGGUGAAAAGCCCGUUCGCCAAAAGACCAAGGGUUCCAGUCCAACGUUAAUCGGGGCUGGGUGAGUCGACCCCUAAGGCGAGGCCGAAAGGCGUAGUCGAUGGGAAACAGGUUAAUAUUCCUGUACUUGGUGUUACUGCGAAGGGGGGACGGAGAAGGCUAUGU